rnacentral:snoRNA from 1 species
CCCAGAUGAUGAUCAUCUUUGUGCCUGAUGUCCAUGAUGGCAUAAAAUAACUGAUUUAAUGACCUGAUGG